rnacentral:lncRNA from 1 species
AUGCAACCCAGCUGGCCCUGCCUCCAUCUGGUACUUAGCCUGAAUGGUGACAGAUGUGAAAGCCCAUCUUUGAUGCUGAACGCUACCUCAACUGGACUGCGAAGGUGGAGACUCAUGGUUGGUCCUGCAAAUCAAAGGCAUGAAGCACCCAUGAUGGACUUUCCCGCUGAUAAGCUGUAUGAAGAAAUACAGAUAGCAGCUUUGUGGUAUCAAACUAAAUGUUGUUGCUGGUUUCUUGGAGACCCAUAUUGCAGCUCUCCAUCUGCCUGCUGGUUUCUGUAUUUAUACCUUGUACUAAGGCUCUAUUUAGAGUGUGGUAGGCAUUUGUAGCACUAACUGACAAUAUAUUCCUUAAAACAAUCAAAUGAGAUAAAUGUGUGGUGGUGUGUUUUUUAUUGUUGUCACUGUUCAAUAUCAGAAUAUAAAUUCAUAGUUUCAGCAUUUUCUUGUUACUCUGUGUAAGGAAUCCAUCGACAAGUGCUAAGCAGAAUCCUGGGUUGGUUUUCAGUUUUAGUGCAGAAUUCUGCACUAUGUGUCUCAGGUCGCUUGCCUUAAUCCAUCUCCCUGCCUCAACUCUGUAUAAGCAAGAUGCAGGCGAUAACACCACCCCGAAGGGGUGGCACAGGGAUAGAUGUAAUCAAGAGGGUAAAGGAUUGUGCAGGUGUUAUUGCAGUAACAACCACACAAUACCUAGGAUUCCUUAUCUAAAUGCGAUGGUUAAGCAGGCGCUUAUACACUCUGGAGAGCUAGCUGCUUUGCAUUCUUUGUGCUGAUAAAGGGAGCGUACUUUGUCCAGUUUCAGACCACUCACCACGAAUGUAGUCACAUAUUAUUGGGCUUUUUCAGGCUGCAAAAUGAACUGCAAUGGGCAGUGAUAGCAGGUGGGCCUGUAACGCUAUGCAAAAUGCUAACUAUCAGAUUUCCAACAGAGCCCCUUGCUCUAAAUGGGGAUUUGGCAUUUUCUAAAGCCUUCAUCUCCCAUUGAGAACAAGGAGGGACUCUCGGAGUUUAAGCGCCUUUGAAAAAAAAAAAGUCUGGCCUCAGUACAGGAGCUGGGCUGUUCUUAAGAUGGUAAAAAUGGAGGAGGGGUGUGUGAAAUCGAACCAUAAAUGAGCUCUGUGACCUCGCUGGCAUGAGUGCAACACGCACACUGACACUGAGAGAAUUGUCACAGAAUUGAUGAGACACCUGGAUCAGGGCUUCCAAAGGUUAAUACGUUUGUCACAAGAUAGAGUUUGGUCUCUGCUGGCAGCAGCAGUUCUUCAAAGCUCUUCUGACUGCUUUGCCAGUUCUGUAUGCAUCAAUAUUGUGCUUUUCGGCUGCACAUGUGGCCUUAACGUCCUAAUCCUGUUCUGACUAGGGUCAAAUUCAAAGGCUUUUCCCUGCCUCAUCCCCUUAAGACUCUGAUUCGACGUUUUAUUGUGAGGCAGUCAGGCAUUAUACUGGUUCCUGGGCAUAAGAAAAGCACAGCUAUAUUUUCUUAUUUUGAGAGGCAUCCUGCUCUGCUCACACACACACCCAGUUGGUGUGGGCAUUCUGUAGAAAGGUUUUUAUUUUAGGUCAGAAUGAAAAGGUUUAAAACUAUUCAAAUUAUAUAUAUUUUUUUCUGUUCACUGCUCUUUUUUUUUUUUCCAAAAAAGUCACUGUUUUUUUGUUCCUAUUCUGAAACUGUGUGUCACAGACCUGCUGUGAUGCCCGCACACAGUGAAGCAGAGCUGUCAUCCCUCUGUAGCACGCUUGCCUCAGAGCUCUGCAUGCCCAUCCUCUUCUUCUAGAUGAUCUUCCAUGGAGGGAGCCAGCUUGGAUCAGCCAGAAUUAGUGUGGUGUGAUCAGCCAGAGUUAGGUUUAUUAUGUCUUCCACCAGAUAAUGGGUACCUGUGUCUAUUUCUGUAGGAAUACAGCUUUUCAGUGGACUCAGAAAGCUGUACUGUGCUUUGCUGAGUUCCUCUCACGUCUGUGGAUUCUCCUUCCAGACACUGCUGGGUUAUGAGACUAUGGGAUGGCGUCUCCCAUUACUUGCUGCCUCUCACUCUUAGCCAAAGUUGUGAUCUUGGUACAAAUCUUGGUCGACCAUUCUGGAAAGGUUUCACUUCUCCUCAACCCCAUGCUCUGAAGCGUUGAUCUUUCUUUUCAGUGGCAUUCUUUAUGGAUGUUGUGUUUGCAGUUGCUCUAUGACUUUGGCUAGACAUUAUUUCAGAUCAGCAUCUGUUAUAUGUGUAUGAAUUGCUCUCUAGUCUUUGGACUUCAAUUACUGCCGCUGUCCUGGAGACAACAAAAGGCUUGAUGCUCUGUUACCCACUUCUUCACUCAGCUCACCUAUGUCCGCGUAAUUUUUAGAGGAAUGUUUGCCGUUCUCUGUGCUGCCGUACUUCUUUCCAGCUCUGAGCCAUACCUUGAAAUUCUGACCUUCUAGCCCGUAUAGUGAAAAGCUGUUUAGAUGUAGAACUUAGGGAUAUGGUUUAGUGGGGACUGUUAGUGUUAGGUCAGAGGUUGGACUCGAUGAUCUUGAGGUCUCUUCCAACCUAGAGAUUCUGUGAUUCUGUGUGAUUCUGUGUAUUGGCCACCUAGGAGCUUGAAUCCUCGAGGUACUUCUAGCUGAACUGCCUUUGUGUGAAUGGACAAGGCUUCCCAAACACCUUCCUGAGGGGAUGUACUGUGACAGAGGUUGAGCAGUGGUAAUGGCUGGCUUUUUUAUGCAGAUGGCAACCUCAAGAAGUGCUUAACAAGGUGACAGGCAUCAACAGCCACACAGUCCCUUUCCUUCAGCUAUGUCGAUGUGCAACUCCAUCUCACGUUGUGCUCCUGACUGCCUGCUUCACAGGUAAUGGCAUGGCUGAGAAAUCAGACUACAACCCAGGACACUGGCAGCGCGGUUGCAUUUCUUGCCAUCAGUGCAGGUGGGGCGCCAGACCCAGGCACACCACUUGCCUGUGGCCUGGAGAAGGUCCAGCCCAGUGUGCAGACAGGGAUUCUGUAUUUCAUUUCUUCUCUCUGUAGCUGAAAAGGUUUUAAACUGAAAUGCCAGACACCAUUAAGCUGAUACUGAUUUCCUUUCUGUCUAGGGUAACUGGUAGAUCAAUAUUUUGGUUGAGGAUAUAUUUUAUGCUAAAUAUAAUAUUUUACAAGAUAACCGACUUGAAAAUACAGAAGAGUUUAAAUGUUUUGCUUUUCAGGUUUUAUGUGCAAUAAAAUGAUGACUGGUAUCA